rnacentral:tRNA from 1 species
GAGGGUAUAGCACAGUAGUAGAGCACGUGCUUAACAUGCACCAGGUCCUGGGUUCAAUCCCCAGUACCUCCA